rnacentral:rRNA from 1 species
GAUGAACGCUGGCGGCGUGCCUAAUACAUGCAAGUCGAGCGAACAGACGAGGAGCCUGCUCCUCUGACGUUAGCGGCGGACGGGUGAGUAACACGUGGAUAACCUACCUAUAAGACUGGGAUAACUUCGGGAAACCGGAGCUAAUACCGGAUAAUAUAUUGAACCGCAUGGUUCAAUAGUGAAAGACGGUUUUGCUGUCACUUAUAGAUGGAUCCGCGCCGCAUUAGCUAGUUGGUAAGGUAACGGCUUACCAAGGCAACGAUGCGUAGCCGACCUGAGAGGGUGAUCGGCCACACUGGAACUGAGACACGGUCCAGACUCCUACGGGAGGCAGCAGUAGGGAAUCUUCCGCAGUGGGCGAAAGCCUGACGGAGCAACGCCGCGUGAGUGAUGAAGGUCUUCGGAUCGUAAAACUCUGUUAUUAGGGAAGAACAAAUGUGUAAGUAACUAUGCACGUCUUGACGGUACCUAAUCAGAAAGCCACGGCUAACUACGU